CUUUAUAGUACAAAUACUUCCUUAUUAAAAUAAGAUAACUUUCCUCCAAUAAUCAAUUUUUAAAUCAUUUCUGCAUUGUCAUGGUUUCACAUGUCUUUAAGCUUAUUUUGUAUAGUUUGCAACCUAAAUCUAUGCAACAUUUUCUAGUACUGACAAACCUACGGUAUUUGAGUUAUGGGCUGACAUUCAUGGUCUUGCAGGCAAAACUCAAGUUCCUAGGUAGGACUGAGAAGUGGCAUGAGCCACUGUGCUCAGCCUCAGUUUAUUUUUUACUCAUAAAUAACUCAGAUUUGAUUUCUUCUUAUGGGUUUGCUGGAAGUAAAAAUCACAUUCACAACCACUGAAGCCAGACAUUUGAUUACUCUUAACAAUUAACAGUAUUAUUUAUUAGGAAAGUAGUGCUGUAAGAGUCAGCAAAAUAGGGCCUGGCUUCCCGGGGCUUUGUCAUAGUCAGCAACUUGCCUUGCACUGCCCUCUUCCUGCCACCUGUGUCCAGCCUGAGCAAGAAAAGAUCUGAUGCUCAGGGAAUCCCUCAUUGGGAAAAUUUAAAUAUGGACCGUAUAGUAGAUGAUAAUAUUGAAAUGAGGUUAUCUUUUUAUUAGAUGUGAUGAUGGUAUUGUGAUAAUGUAGGUGAAUGUUCUUAUUCUUAGGUGAGGCGUGGGGAAUGUUUCCGGGUGGAAUUUUCUGUCUUCAACUUACUUUCAAAAAAACAAUACAGCAAGUCCUCAAA
rnacentral:lncRNA from 1 species